AGUGUUCAGGCAGAUAUUUUUCCGCCACCGAAUACAUUAGCAUGGGAUAAUGGAAUAGGACCGACCUCCUAUUUUCGUUGGUUGUUACGCGAGGUAUAUCAGGGUAAUGAUUAUAGGGAUAGUUGGGGGCAUUAAUAUUUAAUGUCAGAGGGAAAUUCUUGGAUUUAUGAAAGAUUAAUUCUGCGAAAGCGUUUGCCAAGGAUGUUUUCAUUAAUCAAGAACGAAGUUAGGGGAUCGAAGACGAUCAGAACCGUCGUAGUUAACCAUAAACGAGCCGACCAGCGAUUAGGAGACGUGAAUACAAAACACCGCCGUA
rnacentral:rRNA from 1 species